GGCUUCGUCUAGAGGCCUAGGACACCGCCCUUUCACGGCGGUAACAGGGGUUCGAAACCCCUAGGGGACGCCA
rnacentral:tRNA from 1 species